GACGAACGCUGGCGGCGUGCUUAACACAUGCAAGUCGAACGGAAAGGCCCUGCUUUUGUGGGGUGCUCGAGUGGCGAACGGGUGAGUAACACGUGAGUAACCUGCCCUUGACUUUGGGAUAACUUCAGGAAACUGGGGCUAAUACAGGAUAGGAGCUCCUGCUGCAUGGUGGGGGUUGGAAAGUUUCGGCGGUUGGGGAUGGACUGGCGGCUUAUCGGCUUGUUGGUGGGGUAGUGGCUUACCAAGGCUUUGACGGGUAGCCGGCCUGAGAGGGUGACCGGCGACAUUGGUACUGAGGUACGGCCCAGACUCCUACGGGAGGCAGCAGUGGGGAAUAUUGCACAAUGGGCGGAAGCCUGAUGCAGCAACGCCGCGUGCGGGAUGACGGCCUUCGGGUUGUAAACCGCUUUCGCCUGUGACGAAGCGUGAGUGACGGUAAUGGGUAAAGAAGCACCGGCUAACUACGUG
rnacentral:rRNA from 1 species